ACGUGGGCAAUCUGCCCUGCACUCUGGGACAAGCCCUGGAAACGGGGUCUAAUACCGGAUAUUGACCUUCACGGGCAUCUGUGAGGUUCGAAAGCUCCGGCGGUGCAGGAUGAGCCCGCGGCCUAUCAGCUUGUUGGUGAGGUAAUGGCUCACCAAGGCGACGACGGGUAGCCGGCCUGAGAGGGCGACCGGCCACACUGGGACUGAGACACGGCCCAGACUCCUACGGGAGGCAGCAGUGGGGAAUAUUGCACAAUGGGCGAAAGCCUGAUGCAGCGACGCCGCGUGAGGGAUGACGGCCUUCGGGUUGUAAACCUCUUUCAGCAGGGAAGAAGCGAAAGUGACGGUACCUGCAGAAGAAGCGCCGGCUAACUACGUGCCAGCAGCCGCGGUAAUACGUAGGGCGCAAGCGUUGUCCGGAAUUAUUGGGCGUAAAGAGCUCGUAGGCGGCUUGUCACGUCGGUUGUGAAAGCCCGGGGCUUAACCCCGGGUCUGCAGUCGAUACGGGCAGGCUAGAGUUCGGUAGGGGAGAUCGGAAUUCCUGGUGUAGCGGUGAAAUGCGCAGAUAUCAGGAGGAACA
rnacentral:rRNA from 1 species